rnacentral:rRNA from 1 species
UACAGAGGGUGCAAGCGUUGUUCGGAAUUAUUGGGCGUAGAGCGCGUGUAGGCGGCUUAGCAAGUCGGGCGUGAAAGCCCACGGCUCAACCGUGGAAGUGCACUCGAAACUGCGCAGCUAGAGUCUCGGAGAGGAAGGCGGAAUGCUUGGUGUAGAGGUGAAAUUCGUAGAUAUCAAGCGGAACACCGGUGGCGAAGGCGGCCUUCUGGACGAUGACUGACGCUGAAGCGCGAAAGCGUGGGGAGCAAACAGG